UACGUAGGGGGCCAGCGUUGUUCGGAAUUACUGGGUGUAAAGGGUUCGUAGGCGGUGCGGCAAGUCGGGAGUGAAAUCUCUGGGCUUAACCCAGAGGCUGCUUCCGAAACUGCUGUGCUUGAGUGUGGGAGAGGCGCGUGGAAUUGCAGGUGUAGCGGUGAAAUGCGUAGAUAUCUGCAGGAACACCCGUGGCGAAAGCGGCGCGCUGGACCACUACUGACGCUGAGGAACGAAAGCUAGGGGAGCAAACAGG
rnacentral:rRNA from 1 species